rnacentral:lncRNA from 1 species
CACUUGAGCAAUCACGUAGGUAGACCAUUUUGCAAAUUGCAGCAAGACGUAGUACCGCAGAAAUUCCAACAUACACGCUAGUAGAUGGUGCUAGUACAGUUCACGAGUUCUGCGCGGCGAGACGAAGGUGCAAAUGGCGUGACAAGCUAGCGUCCGGGCCGCGCUCAGUCGACCGGUGUGGGCGCUCAGGCCACGGUGGCCGUGGCCGGCAGCGGGGCGGGGCUGACCACCAGGGAGGCGUCGCCGGAGAGAGGGAUGACGCCGCCGCGGGCCAGGAUGGAGCGGUACAUCUCCACCAGCACCUUCUCCUCGUACUCCUUGAGCGGCCGCGGCCGCGCGAAGGGCUCGGGGGCGGCGCAGAAGGGAGCGCUCCCGUAGCCCACGGCGGCGGAGGACGCGAGCCGGAGCAUGGCGCUCACGUACGCGUCCCGGAGCCGCGAGAGCAGCCGCCGCGGCGAGAGCGCGCGCAGAAGGCGCCGCCCGAGGCCGCGGCGCCGCACGCGCCACCCGCGCCGACGGCCCGCGGUCGCGGUCGCCGCCCCGCCCCCGGCGCCGAGCUCGGCCGUGGCGAGGGCCGGGCGGCGCUGCGCGGCGGCCGCGUCCAGGCGGUCGUACCCGCGGUGCUUCCAGUAGGCCUUGAUGCCGCCCUUGCGGGUGCUGCUGGCGGAGGCGCCGGCCAUGGCUGCCCUCGAGCUUCUUGGUCCCGUGGUGGAGCUGGGGGAGGCUGGCCUGGGCCGGGUGCCCUGAUCUCGCGUGGUGUACGAAAAUGGUGGGUGGUUUGUAAUGGCAGGCAGGAGGGUGUGUCGUGUGUGCGUAUGCUCUACUAGUAGGCAGUAGCACCAGCUAGCUGCCAUGCACUUAUACCUGUGUCAUCACAGAGUGAGUUUUUUUUUUCCGUUGUGUACUAAAGUAAUCACGAUGGCUUCGUAGAUUCUAGAUUACUGCGGUUUAACCUCAUCUCAGAUUGUACGGUGUUU